rnacentral:rRNA from 1 species
UACGUAGGUGGCGAGCGUUGUCCGGAUUUACUGGGCGUAAAGCGUGCGCAGGCGGUUUGUUAAGUCUGAUGUGAAAGCCCCGGGCUCAACCUGGGAACUGCAUUGGAAACUGGCAAGCUCGAGUAUGGCAGAGGGGGGUGGAAUUCCGCGUGUAGCAGUGAAAUGCGUAGAGAUGCGGAGGAACACCGAUGGCGAAGGCAGCCCCCUGGGCCAAUACUGACGCUCAGGCACGAAAGCGUGGGGAGCAAACAGG